ACCCGGGUGGCGAAAUUGGUAGACGCGCUAGUUUCAGGUUCUAGUGGUGUAACAACCUUGUCGGUUCGAGUCCGAUCUCGGGUA
rnacentral:tRNA from 6 species